AAAGUCUGGGUUAUUUUUAUUAUUUCAUUGCCCAAUAAAUUGCCAUCUACUUCAGAGUAAUUAUGCAAAGUGACUGAUUCAUCAAGUUUAUUUCCUUCUAGUUUGAUAAAUUAAUUUAGUGCAGUGAUUUGAAGCACAUCAGAAGCUCUAGUUAGCUGUGAGUAGCAUGAUGGGUCUGGAGUGUGGAGGAAUAGUAAAAAGGGGCCUUUGGGGGGGAAAAAAAGUUGAGAUAUUCAUUGCCAGUUUUAGAAGAACAAGCACAACUCUGUUAAUAAUGGACAGGGUGGGACUCCUAUAUUCCAGGAUCCCAAAGGUUACCAUUCUGAUUGUAUCAGGUUGUGCUCCAGAAGUUGCUACAGGCAGCCCUGAGUCUAGGGAAUGUUACUGGAUACCUCUUUAUAAAAAGGAAUUGUUUGUAGGUGUGGUGGACAGAAUGCACUUCUCUGCAACCCCCUUUAAAAAAAAAAAAAAGAAACUGAAUAUGUUAUCUUAUUUGACACAAGGGACUUUGCAUGUGUGAUUAAGAGUUUUGGAAUGGGAAGAUUAUUUCUUGAAUUAUGGGGUGACAGGGCAGUUUAAUCACAAGAAUCCUUGUGAGAGGGAGGCAAGAGGGCCAUAAUCACAAAAGAAGUUGUCAAGGUCAGAGUGAUGAGUGGCUCACUAAGCCAAGGAAUCAGGCAUCCUUUAGAAACUUGAAAAGGCAAGAAAAACAGAUUAUUUCCUCAAGCCUCCAGAAGGAGCAAGUUCUAUUGUAUUUUGUAAUUCCUUAAUUCCAGUGUGUGUGAUUUAAUGUUUAAUAGUGAGCUAAAUUUAUUAGACUGAGCAGUGUGCCAUUGUAUAACUCCCUGGCGUUGGCACAGGGUGUCCUUGAUGAAAAUUAGAUAAACCUUAGAUUUGAGGGUCUAGAACUUUCUACCAGCCAGUUUGCCUGCUGCCUCAGGCAUCCAGAACUCUUAAGGAUAUAUCUCUUACAAAUUAAGUGGACUCAGAAGACACUGUACCAUAUGCAAGCACCUCAAGGAUGACUGCUCAAUAGAAGUUCUCUGAAUUCUGGUUAGUGAUACAAGAUUUGGAUGCUGAAAAGAAAUUACCUCAGACCUUUAUUUUACCCUGUAGCCCUGACCCUUAGCACAAACAUAUGUUUCUUCAUUCUGAAUUUUGCAAAAUAUCAUUGAUAAGUAAAUGCAAAGCUGUGUGUGGAGGUUUCUCUUAAAUAGUUAAGACAUUCAGCAGUCUAACCUAUAUUUUUUUAAUAACAUGCAUUGUUAAGUGUGCUCUUGCAUUUGUUAAAAUGUUUAUUAUUUGCAGUUGUGUUCACGUUCCUGUUCAUUCAGUAUUUUUUCAGUGACUGCUGUGUACUAUUUAAUAAGCACAGGAGAUAGAUAAGAACCUCCAUAAAAUAGAGGAAACAGUUAUUGGGCAAUCUGGUGGGUGACAGGUAUGUGUGUAACACAUAAAUGUACAAAGAUCCAGCCUCUGUUUGGUGUGGAGAGUGGGGUGGACACAGGGAGGACUUCACAGAGGAGGUGAUUCUUGAGACCAGAAGGUUGAAAAAAACAUAUAGCAUGUACAAAAACAUAGUGUACCUUGAAAAACGCAUGAUUUAAAGGAUCUGAAGAAACAAGAACACAAUAUAGUGCUAAGCUGUAGGCUGUGGUGCAGAGUGGACUGUUGCUGGGGGCCAGGGCACUGUGGCUGCGUGAAAAGAUGAUUGUGCUGUUUCCUGGGACCUCAACUGCCUCUGUGGCAGGCCUCUCUCAGGACCUGUCGACCUCAGAUCCAACUGCAAGCAGAGCUUUUUUAUAUAGGAGAUCUGCCUAUUUCCAGUUGGUUUUCUGUGAGAAUUAUUCCACAUGUUCAUGUGUUUUGUUGGUGAAGGUGAGUUUCACAUCCUACUACUCCACCAUCUUGAUUCCCCUCAGGAAGAACUUCUGAGUCUACUAAGUAAACAUAUUGUUGGCUGCUGUGUGAGACUGAUAUAUUUUAGCAACCUGUGUAUAUAAUAGAAAAGUUGUUCUUUAUUGUAUGUACAGUAGUAUUCCUCUACUUUUAAAAAAUUGUUUUAUUUAUUCCACCAUCUCUGAUCGGGCUCCCACUGUGUGACUGAUGGAUAGUUAGGUGCUGGAGAUUCAGUUUGUCUACUCUUUAGGGAUGCUGCUGCUACACUAUGAUAAAUGUGUAACAGUUUUAUUUAAGAACAGAUUCUUGUGUUAAAUUUUUUAUCUUAAUAACUUUAAGUAUCAGCAGUGAAUGAGCAAGUACUUUUUUUCACCAAAACCUAAUUGACAGCUAUCAGUCAAUGCAUGGAACAUGACUACUUAAAGCAUUCUUAUUCUAAAAGAAUUUCAGAAUUGAAAAAUCUUGAGCCAGCAUUGAGUCUGUCUCCCCAUUCUCCGCCUAGUUUUACUGAUGUGAAACAGAGAUUUAGAGAGGUCAGUAUUCAACUGAGGUUACAUAGCCAGCUUACUUGCAGAGCUUGGAGACCGUAUGUUCUGCCUAGUAGUAGUCUGGAAUCCUAGGACAUCUGUAUUAAUUAUUGGUUCGGCUUAGGUGAGCUGUUUUGGAUUUGAAACAUUUUGGGUGGUAUUUUUAAGUUCUUGAAUUUAGAAUUUUUGUUGCAUCUUUUGAAUUCUUUAGCCCAAAGAAUGGAGAAGAGGGUAUGCUCUCAAAAUACCUUGUGAUUUUGCUUUUAAGGCUUCCCUAGUGGCUCAGAUGGUAAAGGGUCUGCCAGCAAUGCGGGAGACCCGGGUUCGAUCCCUGGGUUGGGAAGAUCCCCUGGAGAAGGAAAUGGCAACCCACUCCAGAACUCUUGCCUGGAAAGUUCCAUGGACAGAAGAGCUUGGUAGACUACAGUCCAAGGGGUCAGAAAGAGUUGGACAUGACUGAGCAACUUCACUUUCUUUUUGCUGUUAAAAAGUGUUCUCAGACAUGUCAUUCUGUUUGCCUUUUUGAAGAAAAAAAUAUGAUUCUUAAUAUGGAAUUGUCUGACAUUUUUUUACCUAUGCAGUUUAUCUUGUGACAUUAAUUUUUCUUU